UACAUGUGGGGCAAGCGUUGUUCGGAAUUACUGGGCAUAAAGGGUGCGUAGGUGGUUUGUUAAGUCAGGGGUGAAAUCCCGGAGCUCAACUUCGGAAUUGCCUUUGAUACUGUCUGUCUUGAGUCCGGGAGAGGUGAGUGGAAUUCCUAGUGUAGAGGUGAAAUUCGUAGAUAUUAGGAAGAACACCAGUGGCGAAGGCGGCUCACUGGCCCGGUACUGACGCUCAUGUGCGAAAGCGUGGGGAGCAAACAGG
rnacentral:rRNA from 1 species